UGGGGAAUAUUGCACAAUGGGGGAAAGACCCUGAUGCAGCAACGCCGCGUGAAGGAAGAUGGUUUUCGGAUUGUAAACUUCUUUUCUUAGUGAAGAAGCAAGUGACGGUAGCUAAGGAAUAAGCAUCGGCUAACUACGUGCCAGCAGCCGCGGUAAUACGUAGGAUGCGAGCGUUAUCCGGAAUUACUGGGUGUAAAGGGAGCGCAGGCGGGACUGCAAGUUGGAUGUGAAAUACCGCAGCUUAACUGCAGAGCUGCAUCCAAAACUGUAGUUCUUGAGUGGAGUAGAGGCAAGCGGAAUUCCGAGUGUAGCGGUGAAAUGCGUAGAUAUUCGGAGGAACACCAGUGGCGAAGGCGGCUUGCUGGGCUCUAACUGACGCUGAGGCUCGAAAAGCGUGGGGAGCAAACAGGAUUAGAUACC
rnacentral:rRNA from 1 species